rnacentral:lncRNA from 1 species
AAAGAAUGAAAUAUCUUGUUCAAUGUCAUAUUUAAUAACAAACCAUUAGCAUUUUAAUAUUUUUAAAGUAAAUGUGCCAUCAACAGCUACUAAUUUAUAAUUUACAAUUAUUCGUAAAGUACCACCUUGAGGCAAUAUUGUAAAUAAAGCUUCGGAUAGGGAAUAACACUCGGCUUCUUUGAAUUAUACCCAAACAGCUUGGGGACCUCCUCCAGACAGAGCAACUCACAGCAGCUUACAGACUUCCUAUAUAAAAUAAAACAAAAUAUCCAGAGUGCUAUAAAAGAGGAAAAGUGCUCUCUUUACAGUACCAAGAUUAUCUCAUGCAAGAGAGUAGAUGAUGCAAUGUUUAUUAUUAGAAGUUGAAGAAGUUUGUACACAAGAUGGCUUUUUCUCUUUGGAAAACCCGAGGUCACUCCA